GACCUACUUAGCUUUGGACUGCAGCAAAGAAAGCCUAAGGUAGCAAUUUCAAACAGGUGUGGUUGGAUCACCAGAAGUGUUUGUUAGAUCAUUUCUGGGCACACACCCGCAGUUUGAUAAGAGUUGAUCUGGAGAGGGCUACAAGAAUUUGCAUCUGUAAUGUAUUUAGGGAUGGUGGGUGGUAUGUGGGCUUCUGGUGUGGGGACCGUACUUGGAAAAGUACUGUCCUAAGUGUGUACAGCACAGCUCUUAAUAAGCAAAUGAGUUCCUGAUCUACCAAGUAAAUGCUCCUUGGCAUGGGAGACCUGAAUAUUGACUUGUCCAGUCUCCUAGCCUAUGUCGACUCAUUGUAGGGAGGAAACUCACCAUACUUAGGAAUACGAAAGUCAAGAUGUCCACUGCCUCUGAGUGCAUCACUCUUGUCCCUUUGAAAUAACUACUGUUAAAAGAGGGUGUGUGUGGUGGGGGGGGGGGUACUUAAAAUACUUAGUUUCGAUGGGCAGUAAGAGGCUAUGGAAAGGGAAAUUCAGGAUGAGGGAAGAUUGGUUGUAAGUGAAAGGAAACUAAUCAAUUUGUUAGUACACAGUAGAAGUGAUUAAUUGGUGAAAAAAAUUAUAUUUGAUAAUGAACUUUACAAAUUACCAGGGUACUAACUAGGUAAAUAAAUAAAAGAUAAGCCCUGUAGGUAUCAACCAGCAAUAAGUAAUGUUAGAGUUUUCUUUAUAGUGUAAAAUGUGGAUCAUGUUACCACAAAGUUAAUUGAAAGAUGACUUUGUCACUGAAAAUGGGAGAUGGUUGCCAGGGUUUCUUUGCAGCUAAGAAAAUGAAAAAAUUAAACUGUCCAAAGCUAAAGGGUUUACAUGGUCAGAUAAUUCAGAUAUACCUAACAACUUUUCAGGAGUCAAGGCUAAAAUACAGUGUAUAUUCUUUCUCAUUUUCUAGUGAGCCUAUCUAUUUCCCUGUGUACUAACCUUAGAAAACGACUUUGUAAUGUGGAAUUCUAUGAACCGUGACUUCUGUAAACCCAGGUCAUUUUCCUCCUGUUCUAACUCUGCUUUUUGUUAGGCCAUUGAUGCAUCUUUCCGACUGUAUGUUCUGUGUAUAAUGCUGUUCUUGGUGCUAAAUAGACUUUCUUUCCUCUGAUAUUCAGGAUAAUUUUUCUCUAUACUUCUGUUCACUUGUUUUCUUGAAGUUAUCUGAUUGUUAUUUUUAAUUAAAAAUACUUAAAUG
rnacentral:lncRNA from 1 species